rnacentral:tRNA from 1 species
CCCCCUGUAGCCCAACCGGCAGAGGCAGUCGACUUAAAAUCGAUACAGUGUGGGUUCGAAUCCCACCAGGGGGACC